rnacentral:rRNA from 1 species
CAUAUCUCCCGGUGGCUGGUGCUGGGCCACCGGACCUGCCCGAUCACGAUGCAGGAGCUUUGGGACGACGCGCUCACCCCCAACGGCACGCUCCGGCAGCUCAUCGCCACCUGGUUCUCCCGCCGGUACACCCUUCAAGAAGCGCUCGGACACUACCACGGCCGCGCCGCGGACCUUGUCCACGGUCCCCCUAUUUACUCGAUAAAUUAG